GAUGAACGCUGGCGGCGUGCCUAAUACAUGCAAGUCGAGCGAACGGACGAGAAGCUUGCUUCUCUGAUGUUAGCGGCGGACGGGUGAGUAACACGUGGAUAACCUACCUAUAAGACUGGGAUAACUUCGGGAAACCGGAGCUAAUACCGGAUAAUAUUUUGAACCGCAUGGUUCAAAAGUGAAAGACGGUCUUGCUGUCACUUAUAGAUGGAUCCGCGCUGCAUUAGCUAGUUGGUAAGGUAACGGCUUACCAAGGCAACGAUGCAUAGCCGACCUGAGAGGGUGAUCGGCCACACUGGAACUGAGACACGGUCCAGACUCCUACGGGAGGCAGCAGUAGGGAAUCUUCCGCAAUGGGCGAAAGCCUGACGGAGCAACGCCGCGUGAGUGAUGAAGGUCUUCGGAUCGUAAAACUCUGUUAUUAGGGAAGAACAUAUGUGUAAGUAACUGUGCACAUCUUGACGGUACCUAAUCAGAAAGCCACGGCUAACUACGUGCCAGCAGCCGCGGUAAUACGUAGGUGGCAAGCGUUAUCCGGAAUUAUUGGGCGUAAAGCGCGCGUAGGCGGUUUUUUAAGUCUGAUGUGAAAGCCCACGGCUCAACCGUGGAGGGUCAUUGGAAACUGGAAAACUUGAGUGCAGAAGAGGAAAGUGGAAUUCCAUGUGUAGCGGUGAAAUGCUCAGAGAUAUGGAGGAACACCAGUGGCGAAGGCGACUUUCUGGUCUGUAACUGACGCUGAUGUGCGAAAGCGUGGGGAUCAAACAGGAUUAGAUACCCUGGUAGUCCACGCCGUAAACGAUGAGUGCUAAGUGUUAGGGGGUUUCCGCCCCUUAGUGCUGCAGCUAACGCAUUAAGCACUCCGCCUGGGGAGUACGACCGCAAGGUUGAAACUCAAAGGAAUUGACGGGGACCCGCACAAGCGGUGGAGCAUGUGGUUCAAUUCGAAGCAACGCGAAGAACCUUACCAAAUCUUGACAUCCUUUGACAACUCUAGAGAUAGAGCCUUCCCCUUCGGGGGACAAAGUGACAGGUGGUGCAUGGUUGUCGUCAGCUCGUGUCGUGAGAUGUUGGGUUAAGUCCCGCAACGAGCGCAACCCUUAAGCUUAGUUGCCAUCAUUAAGUUGGGCACUCUAAGUUGACUGCCGGUGACAAACCGGAGGAAGGUGGGGAUGACGUCAAAUCAUCAUGCCCCUUAUGAUUUGGGCUACACACGUGCUACAAUGGACAAUACAAAGGGCAGCGAAACCGCGAGGUCAAGCAAAUCCCAUAAAGUUGUUCUCAGUUCGGAUUGUAGUCUGCAACUCGACUACAUGAAGCUGGAAUCGCUAGUAAUCGUAGAUCAGCAUGCUACGGUGAAUACGUUCCCGGGUCU
rnacentral:rRNA from 1 species